UAAUUAAGCAAAGUAAAUAUAGUUUAUGUUUUUAAAUUAAAUAUUUACAAAUUUUCAAACUAAACAUUAAUCAUUUUUUUCGGUAAUUGAUUUCCCCCCCCCCUUUCUUUUGGCAGCUAUUGGAAACCUACAGCUUAUUCUGAGGAUAAAUACUCAGGCCAUGGGUGGAAUUACGAAAAACUCAAAUGCUUGUGUUGUGGAUCUAGGAGGAAAGAGAGAGACAUUUUUAUUCGAGACAAAAGAUUACAUCUUCAACCGCAUAUAUGGAAUGCGCUUAUGAAAAAAUUGGCUCUAUGGAUUGCGGAGUUAUCGGCAAUAAUAUAAACCGAAUUGCAAAUUAGUUACGAAAAAAUCACUACCUCAUCCCAAAUAUUUCCCUGUUUGGGUUGUAGUUAAUAAUCUAAACGAACUAUCAAUGAUUAUCGAUGGCAAUUAUUUAUAUUUUUAAAAUUAUCAUUAAAAAUAUAUUAUAUUUAAUAGAAUAUAUAUAUAAUUACAUUUUCUUUGU